rnacentral:rRNA from 1 species
AAACCUCUUUCAGCAGGGACGAAGCCUCACGGUGACGGUACCUGCAGAAGAAGCCCCGGCCAACUACGUGCCAGCAGCCGCGGUAACACGUAGGGGGCGAGCGUUGUCCGGAUUUAUUGGGCGUAAAGAGCUCGUAGGCGGUUCGGUAAGUCAGGUGUGAAAACUCUGGGCUCAACUCAGAGACGCCACCUGAUACUGCCGUGACUGGAGUCUGGUAGGGGAGUGUGGAAUUCCCGGUGUAGCGGUGAAAUGCGCAGAUAUCGGGAGGAACACCAGUGGCGAAGGCGGCACUCUGGGCCAGUACUGACGCUGAGGAGCGAAAGCGUGGGGAGCGAACAGGAUUAGAUACCCUGGUAGUCCACGCCGUAAACGUUGGGCACUAGGUGUGGGUCCUAACCAACGGGAUCCGUGCCGCAGCUAACGCAUUAAGUGCCCCGCCUGGGGAGUACGGCCGCAAGGCUAAAACUCAAAGGAAUUGACGGGGGCCCGCACAAGCGGCGGAGCAUGUUGCUUAAUUCGAGGCAACGCGAAGAACCUUACCUGGGUUUGACAUGUAGGGAAAAGCCGUGGAGACACGGUGUCCUUCGGGGCCCUACACAGGUGGUGCAUGGCUGUCGUCA